AGACGGAGUCUCGCUCUGUCACCCAGGCUAGAGUGCAGUGGUGUGAUCUUGGCUCACUGCAACCUCUGCCUCUCAGGUUCAAGUGAUUCUCCUGCCUCAGCCUCCCCAGUAGCUGGGAUUACAGGCGUGCACCACCACACCCAGCUAAUUUUCUUGCAUUUUUAGCAGAAAUGGGGUUUCACCAUGUUGGUCAGGCUGGUCUCGCAUUCCUGACCUCAGGUGAUCCAUCUGCCUUGACCUCCCAAAGUGCUGGGAUUACAGGCAUGAGCCACCGCGCCCGGCCCAAACCUGCCUAUUUACCCACGACAAGGAGAUUCCGGCUUCUUGAGGGGUGAGGUUUUAUCUCACAAACAUCUCAAAAGCCCCCAUGGCUGGCUGUACCACUUGCUAAUGACAGACUCUGGGCACUUGUCUCAUAUACCCACGCCUCAGCUUUCUCAUCACCACCAUGACCACCGCAGAGUCAAGAGGGCCUCCUUCUCUGAGGGUGACCUCCACAACUACCCCAAUAGACAUCAAGCCCCCAGGUGGAUCCUCACCUUCCGUGAGCAUAGUAGUGCCUCUGCUCUCUUGGGAAGGGAUAAAUGGCAGCUACUCCCUAAACCCAUACUGCAAAAACAAGUACGGUAAAACAGAAAGACAUCUUCCAUGGGCAGGCAAAGCACAUUUACCAAGUCCAAUUUAAGAAACUUAGCUAGGGGCUAAGGGGGAUAUGCUGAAAAAUGAAUCAAUUCUCUGCUGGGAAGGAGCACAGCACAGGGUGCAACAUUUAAAACAUUUAAAACCACAUCUAUACGGUUUUAAAUCACCAAAACGUCCACCCUCAGGAGAACAGAUGUCAUGGCACAGUGAUCUGACAGAACAUUAGGCAACAGUCAAAAUGCGCAAAGUGGCCGGGCGCAUCUCAUAUCCCCAAUUUUAGUCAUCACAAGCCAA
rnacentral:lncRNA from 10 species